CGAAAGUGAAGUCAUACAGAUGUUUGAAACUUCUGCAUAUGUACAACCACAUCAAAUUUCUGCCACUGAUCCAACUAUCAUUGAAAUUUCUGGAUCUAAAUCUCUAACACCUUUAGAGACCUUUUCUUACCAGCCACCAAAACGAAAAAGUACUCAAAAGCCCAAACUAAGCAAACAAAGAUUUGAGGACACAAAUUCGGCUACAAUAAGACUUGGAGAUUUAGC